UACGUAGGGGGCAAGCGUUGUCCGGAAUCAUUGGGCGUAAAGCGCGUGUAGGCGGCUCGAUAAGUCUGCUGUGAAAGUCCAGGGCUCAACCCUGGGAUGCCGGUGGAUACUGUCGGGCUCGAGUCCGGAAGAGGCGAGUGGAAUUCCUGGUGUAGCGGUGGAAUGCGCAGAUAUCAGGAAGAACACCCGUGGCUAAGGCGGCUCUCUAGUACGGUACUGACGCUGAGACGCGAAAGCGUGGGGAGCGAACAGG
rnacentral:rRNA from 1 species